UGUAACUCCUCCUUCACUGUAAUGUUUAUAAAAAGCUCAGGUACCUGAAUCUUCAGAACUUGAACGUCCUUUACAUCUUUUUUCCCUUUUGGUUUCACAGUUGAUUAUUUGUUUGGAUCUACAAUAUUCAUUUCCAACUUCAGAUUGGUUUGGUUUGUUCUGCUGAAGACAUUGAAGAGUUUUACUCUCGUAUUUUGUUGCUUCUGGUCUUUAUCUUGACUCAACCCAUCAGAGCUAACUAUGGAUUUCAAGAACAACUGGAUUUCCAAACUGAAAGGAGAAUUUUCCAAAAGCCCAGUAGCAACAACUCUAAGCUUUGGACUGAUCCAGAUGGCAGUUUGAGAAACUGGUGGAAGUAGAUUUCGCAUGCCCCUGUGACUCUAGAUACAAUCAAUUACAUUCUUUGACAUGUUUCAUUGUUCCACCAAUCGUAGUCUUUUUACUAAUGUUUGCCAUUAAAUGUCACUGUAAACCACUUAGAACAUUUGACUGUAAAUCAUGUAUUAAAUCAGUCUGUAAGGCCGUUAGUAUCACCAUUAUUUCAGCCACAAUAUGGUUGAUAAUUGUGUUUUUUGAUGGUCGUUAUUACGCCUGUGCAAAGACCAGCUGGAAGGGAACCUACGAAACGAUUAAGAACGAUGAGCCUCUGAAAUGGUGUAAACCAGACACAGACAGCUCCAACUCAUCUCAGGAGCUACUGGACAAAACCCAGCUGUGGUAUUCUGAGUCGCAGUUCAUCGGAUUCUGGAUAAUAUUAGGGUUGACGGGUUUUUGUGUGCUCUGUUUGCUUGGCUCCCGGUGCUCAUCCAGUUCUGAUGAAAAUGAUGGAACUUCAAGAAAUGAGAGAAACGACGUGGCUUCUGCACCUGUCUGAAGCAAAAACAUUAAAAGAAAUCAUAUAUGAAUGUCUAAUUACAUAGGACAAGUCAUGUGUGGUUCUCAUACUUUGAUAGUCCUGUGGACUCGUUUAAAAUGGGGGCCAAAGUUGCAACAUUUGUUACAUUUUUAGCU